CUCACACAAGCAGGGGGAAGGUCAGACGGUAAGAGAGAGAGGGAGAGAGAAAAUCUCAAACAGAAUCUGCACUGAGUGUGGGGCCCAACACAGGGCUCAAUCUCAUAACUCCGAGAUCAUGACCUGAACUGAAAUCAAACAGCUGGGCACUCAACCAACUGAGUCACCCAGGCGCCCUGAGCCUCUUGAAUUUUUUUAAAAACAAAUCUCUCCAGAUAACAUGGAGGCUCCUAGGACAUUCAUCAUCUUCUGUGACUCCCACUGUGUUUGGCUUGGUGUCAACUUGGAUACCAGCUCCUAGAGGGCAGGGAGGGUCUCGGCCACCUCUGCAGCCCCGCAGCUCUGGCAGUAGCUCCCGUGCAUGGCAGAUGGACACUGACUGCUUAGAGAACUGCAUGAAUAAACUAGAGUUGAGAAGAAGUCAUCGGAGAGGAUGAAAGAUGAUCCAGAAAGCAUGGUAUCCUGGACGUCUACGGAAGAAUCUUAAGGAAGAAGUGAUCAACGUUGUCAAAUACUGCAGAGAGAUGGGAACAAAAAAGUCAUCCUGUGCUUUUUGGCUGGU
rnacentral:lncRNA from 1 species